rnacentral:lncRNA from 10 species
CUGAGGCCUGAGAGCUGAAGCAACUUGCCCAAGGUCACUAACAAGAGGCAAAGCCAGUUCUUGAACCUUUUUUGUCCUAACUCCAACCUGGGGCUCUGAAGUCCUGCCGCUCCACUGGAAGGGCCCUCAGUGCCGUCUAUGCCCAGGGCGGGGCACUCAGGUUGGGUGGGGAUGCAGCCACCCUGAGUGGGCCCGUGAUCUGCUUCACCUCUGCCUGGCAGAACUGGAGGUCCAGCAGCUCCUGCAGAUGGGUGGUGGUGGAAGGAGGAGAGAAUGGGCCACAGGCAGGCCAAGGGCAAGCUUAGCAGCACUCAACAUCCUCCAUGAACUCAACAGAAGUCAAGAAUGCAGGCAGCUCAUGAUGAAGACCUGCAGCGGCCCAGGUUUACCAAGCUCAUUCACAAUUGCAGUUGGAGAAUUCGUCUUUGGUCAUUUUCUACUUUGGAAAUACGCUGGUAUGUGGCAACGACCUGACUUCAACCAGGAAGACAAGGUUGAUGACCUAAGGAAUAGCACUGUAGCAAAUGGAAGGAUCCCUGAGUGACUGUGUGGAGCAGAGCCCUCCUACCAGCCUGGACUAGCCAACAUAAGAUUAAGAUAUUUUUUACAUAAAGCAUACUGCAUGGGUGUCCUACUGGUGAUGGAAAAAGAAAUGAAAGCAUCUCUCAAAAGGGUCAAACCAAGGCCAGGUUUUAUUUGGUGUUUGAGAAAACCUGGAUUAUUUGGGUCAGGAGAAAAUUUUGGACUUCCUGCUAAUCACAGGAUUUCAACAGCAAGCGUCUUCAAAUCAUGUGUGACAUCCCCUGGCUGAUAAGAGCCUUCCCACCUCAUCUCAAGGAAGGCAACACCUUUCAUAACUACUAGAAUGACUACACUUGCCUCACUAAAUUGUAGUUGUUGAACCACAAACUUGAUUCCUACUUCUGUAAAAAUAAAUCAGAAUUAAAAUGAUUAAGAUAUGGAAUUGAGCCUCCAUGAGGUUUCAGCAGGCAUCCAUAACCUACAGGGUUAUGACAGUCAUAUUUUCUGAAUCCCAAAUCAGGACAUGGGACCAUGGAAAUAGAGAAGACCAUCAAGCAGAACGUUUGACUUCAGUUCUGUCGUGAAGAUUCUGGGUUUUCAAUCCUUCUAACUACAGUACUAGAUGACAAAGAUGAUUUAUUGCACAUUAAGCACUCAUGAGUGCUCUAUUAACCUCAUUCCUUGGAAUGAUUGUUUUAAAACAACUUUCCAUUUUUGCUAUUAAAAUACCUACUACUUGGGAGACUGAGGCAGGAGAAUCACUUGAACCCGGGAGGUGGAGGCUGCAGUGAGCCGAGACUGCACCACUGCACUCCAGACUGGGCAACAGAGUGAGACUCUGUCUCAAAAAAAAAAAAAGUAAUGCAUAUUAAUUGAAGAAAAUAUAGACAUGGAAAGGAAAGAAAAUCAUCCAUCCAUAAUUUCACAACCCAGAGAUAACAACCACUAACAGCUUAAUAAAUAGCAUUUCAACUUUUUUGUGUGUAUAUUUAUAUAUUUU